rnacentral:lncRNA from 1 species
CCUAUGAACUUUUUGAAUGAAAGGACUCUCAAAGGAACCUUCUUUGGAAACUACAAACCUCGUUCGGAUAUUCCUUCUGUUGUUGAGAAAUACAUGAAUAAAGAACUUGAAUUGGAGAAAUUCAUCACUCAUACACUUCCAUUUGCUGAAAUCAAUAAGGCUUUUGAUUUAAUGUUGAAGGGAGAAGGCCUUCGUUGCAUCAUCACCAUGGAGGACUAAAUUUACUGUCCUAGAAAAGGAGCUUCUAGCUAGUUGCUACUCUUUGAGAAAAGACCAAUAAAUUGUCACUGUCUUAUUUUCCCUUUCUUGUUUGGUGAUUGAGUUGUAACAUUCCUGUCC